GACGAACGCUGGCGGCGUGCCUAAUACAUGCAAGUCGAACGCAGUGGGGACGGGUGAGUAACACGUGGGUAACCUCCCAUCAGAGGGGAUAACACUUGGAAACAGGUGCUAAACCGAUACUGAUGGAUGGACCCGCGGUGCAUUAGCUAGUUGGUGGGGUAACGGCUCACCAAGGCCACGAUGCAUAGCCGCCCUGAGAGGGGAGUCGUCCACACUGGGACGGAGACACGGCCCAGACUCCUACGGUGGGCAGCAGUGGGGAAUCUUCGGCAAUGGACGAAAGUCUGACCGGGCAACGCCGCGUGAGUGAGGAAGGUUUUCGAAUCGUAAAACUCUGUUGUUAGAGGAGCGGUAUCUAACCAGAAAGCCACGGCUAACUACAUGCCAGCAGGCGCGGUAAUUC
rnacentral:rRNA from 1 species